UACGUAGGGUGCAAGCGUUAAUCGGAAUUACUGGGCGUAAAGGGCGCGUAGGCGGCCACCGCAAGUCGAUUGUGAAAUCUCCGGGCUUAACCCGGAAAGGUCAACCGAUACUGCGGGGCUAGAGUGCAGAAGGGGCAACUGGAAUUCUCGGUGUAGCGGUGAAAUGCGUAGAUAUCGAGAGGAACACCUGCGGCGAAGGCGGGUUGCUGGGCCGACACUGACGCUGAUGCGCGAAAGCCAGGGGAGCGAACGGG
rnacentral:rRNA from 1 species